UAUUCCCGGUGUUUCUGGAUGCCUCUUGAUUCGAUCUCUUUCUUUCCCGAAGACUCCCGUCAUCACCGCUUUACCGCCUUAUGCUUCUAUAAAUUCUCCUCUUUCCCAUCAUGAUGCCGGCAACCUACGCCCAUCCUCUUCAACCUAACCGCCUGUCCGUGACUCACCCCUCCAGGCGAUGACCGUGUCUUUCUUCUUCUCGGCCGGCGGCGCGGCCGAUGUGGUCAUGCACGCAGGACAGGAAGCACGGCGACCUGCGUCUGUGCGGAGGCGAAACUCAGGCCGCGGUGGCGCGCCGUCCCGUUGCCAUUUUCCAUGUCCUCGCCAUCACCGUGUGCCCAUGCGCUGCGGAUCUUGACUUCGAUCCCCCCUUACCCGUCGACGCCUCCAGCUCGCGACCUCCCAGGCCGCCGGAGCCCUGCAGGCCUGUGUCACCUCGCCACUAUCUCGACCUUGUGUUCGCCUACACCGUCAGUGCCUUGCCCUCAAGCGCCACUAGAGCCCUUGGCCCCGCGUCUUUGUACGUGGCGAGGUGCAGCCUUGGCUAGGCUGGAGCCAAAGCCGGCAAUGGCUACUACAACGGCAUCGACUUCUUAGCUGCCAAACUGGGUGAACUGCCAAGCGUUGGAGCUUUUUCUUCUGCGUGUUAUGGCACUGAGAUUUGUACCGGGACUUGUGGCAUAUGAGAAGAGAUGCUAAGGAGAGAGAACUCAAUGCAUUGCUUGCUUCAUCAGAGGUGCAAGAAGGAGCCGGAGGCUUUGAGAGCAUGCUAUCAUGGUUAUGAACAUGUAUGGAUUAGCAACUGGGAGUCUGGGAUACAGUCACUGUAGUAAGAAAUGCCUGGUGAACUGAAUCAAGAAUGGCCUAAUUGUACCUUGCCUUUUCUGUCACUGGCAAGGACGAUCUGCUGGGCGACGUCAGGCCGUGUGGCACGCCGGUCAAGGAGUUCACCUUCGCCGCCGCGCUCAUAGCAUUUGGAAUGCUCAAUGUUGUCACCCCGUCUUCAUAGCCGUUGUCUGUCCACCGUGUCGGCGGUGAGUACUGCCAACGUGAGACGAAUAUCUCUCUAUUUACUACUUCCUCAUCCAAGGGAGUAUCUGUCUACCCCGAUUUUAUCAUCGAACAAAAAAGAACUAUCUAUCCAAAUCCGAUUGAAAUUUACAGUUGCUUUGUUAUCGAGAGUUGAGUUCUGGACUGGGGAAUUCAGAAGGGGUUUCCCCAUGUAGGAGCAUCGAUCAGUUGAUGUCUUUUGAGUCAUUUGUAUUUUGCAUCUUUGAGGCAACUUAAACUUUUCAUUUCUAUUGUUGGCCUGAAUAAAAAUCUAUAUGUCCGAAGUUCUCCAUGUCUGGCUGAACUGAUUGUGUUUGUUUGUUAAUUUAUGCAGUUCUGUAGAUAGAUAUUUGAUUAUGCAGAAUUGCUGUAUUUAAGCCGAUAUGUAGGAAGAUACUUGAUUAUGCAGAAUUGUUGACCAUAGAAAAGAGAGAUUUAGAUAUUUUUUGUGUUAAUAAAUUUGGAGGAAGCGUCCUAUUUUUUCACUCUGUAAAAAGUAAGCAUAGCUAAUUCCAGGUCGUGCAUGUUACUAGAUAGUGAAGGGUUUUCGUGGUUCUGGACUGGUUGUCCAUUUUCCCCCUUUUUUGCCAUCAUGCCAUCAUUCAUUCUGCCAGACAGUGAAGAAUUUUUGUAGUUUUGGACUGGUUGACCCCCCCCCCCCCCCCUUCUUUGCCAUCAUGCCAUCACUAUUUACCUAUAUUACAUUCAGAUCAUGAUUUAGGUGAGAGCGUUGUUAUUUUGUCGAGUUUUGUAAACAUGGAGAUACC